GACGAACGCUGGCGGCGUGCCUAACACAUGCAAGUCGAGCGGGGAUUUAAGUGGAAGUUCUUCGGAAUGGAGAUUUAAAUUCUAGCGGCGGACGGGUGAGUAACGCGUGAACAAUCUGUCCCGGACAGGGGGAUAACACUUGGAAACAGGUGCUAAUACCGCAUCAGACCACGGCCUCGCAUGUGGCGGAGGUAAAAGGAGCAAUCCGGUUCGGGGUGAGUUCGCGUCCGAUUAGCUAGUUGGUGAGGUAACGGCCAACCAAGGCGACGAUCGGUAGCCGGCUGAGAGGGUGAACGGCCACAUUGGAACUGAGAGACGGUCCAAACUCCUACGGGAGGCAGCAGUGGGGAAUAUUGGGCAAUGGGCGAAAGCCUGACCCAGCAACGCCGCGUGAGGGAAGAAGGUUUUCGGAUUGUAAACCUCUGUCCUAUGGGACGAAGGAAGUGACGGUACCAGAGGAGGAAGCCCCGGCUAACUACGUG
rnacentral:rRNA from 1 species